AUUGUGUCAUAAUAAUAAAAGAAAUUUAUUUUAAUUAAUAAGAAAUGAAAAAACACGAUUCUUAUAGUAGUGCAUGAUAAACAGUAGUUACAGCUUUGAGAUUUUAUAUUUGGGUCAAGGGUCGAACCACUGAAAUCGUAAAUAUACAUAUUCAAUUUUUGAAUAAAAACAUACAUUUGUAUGAAUUUCUAACUAAAAAAUAGUUUUAAAAUUUACGUGAUUUUUAAGAAUUUCGUCAAAAUUCUAACUUCAGUCACUCAUAAAAAAACUGUCGUGGAUUUACGCCAUGCUUUUUUUUUAAUUUCCAUUUACAACAACUUAAGAGGAAGUAAGAAUGUUAUAGGCAUAUUACAUUCUCGAGUUACUGGACCAAGCGAACAAUUUUUUAUCCACAAAAGUUAAGAAAAUAAUAAAAUAAUCGCAAAUUGCCUAUGCAUAUGAAUAUCUCGACAUCAUGAAUCUAAAUACUUUGAAAAUGUUAUGGUUUUAAAUUCUAAUAUAAACAAUGAGUGAAAAUUUAUUUUAGAGUAGGUAAUACCACUUACACCAAAAACCAAAACCGAUUUUACGUAAAAAUUCACGUUUUCCUAAAUUUUUUUUUUUUGUUUUUCCCGGCGCUUUUGGAUACUAGGUACCUACUGGGCAUUUCGACCUCCCCCAAUACACAAACUAGAUUCACUUUUCCACCGGAAAAGAUGAAAAGCGAAGCAAUUAGUUCUAAUACUUAUCGUGUACACAGACACAAAUAAUAAAAAUUUAUGACGCAGAACGUAAAUUUGUUAAUAGUUUCAAUAUAGGCCCAUCACUCUAAUUUUUAAACUAACGGUGCUAAACGUGAUCAGCUGAUCAUACAUUUGCUAAAUAAAACGGAGACAAUAAAAUGCCCGGUUUACGUCUUAAAUCGUGGAGCUGCAUCGUUCACGAAAUUUCGAAAAUUGAAUGCCCGCGAUUCUGUCUUAUUACUAUAAUAUGUACCACGAAAUAGUAAUAAUUGUUAUCAAAUAAAUAACAACAUAAUAUUAUUAUUUUUUUCGUAUGCCGACUUUAAAUUUGAAUCACUCGCGAAUCGCGAUUAUUUGAAAUUUAAACAUAAAUACAGACUACAGAACAGUCGUUCUGAGUUCUCUUCAUACAUUCUAGUAGAAAACUAUCAUGGAUAAGGGUAUUCUUUUCAGUAAAACAUCCAAUGUCUCGCCUCCCCACAUUACGUUAAUCUUAAUUUGUAAAUAUUAUUUUCUAGUUGUACUGAUUAUAUUUGUUAAUAAUAUGGAGUCAGUCUAAUUUGAAAAUUUGUUCACAAAUAUAGAUUAAUAAAAGAUCAAUGAAAUAGAAGGAAAUAAUGGCCGAAAAUAUUCGAAUUAAAUGAUUAUCCCAAUUUCUACCUGGCAUGGAAUCUGCGGUAAUCAUUUCACAAUAAUUAGUGGUUGCAAACAAUGCUCAGUAAAUUUGAAAACAUAGUCGAAAGCUGUCUCAAAACAUAAUCCAAACCACUUGUCUGGGAUAGAGAAGUAAAAUAAAUGUUAGUGAUUCACGGUACUAAUAACGGUAAUACUAUGGCAACAAUGGUACAACUCUGAGCACGACUAGUAAAUCGCAUCUAAGAGGUAAAAUCGUUUAACAUAAUUCAUAAAUUAGGUAUUUAUAUAUUUUUACAAUUUGCAUUUUCAGAAAAUUUUGUUCCACCAACAAUGAGUUAGAAGAAAAUUAACAGACGAAUAAAGGAUUUGGAGUCCAUACAGUUGAUGAUUUUAAGUCACCCAGAAAAGCCUUAGAUACCCAAUAAUGUCUAAUUCACACACACUUAUAUAGGUAUAUCACUCAAGUAUCCAAUUUUAAAUGUUUGCCAAAACCAAAAGUUACUUAAUAGUUUAUCGUUUUUAGCUCAUACAAUGCAUUAUACUUAUUAUGGUUAUCAAAACUGAAGUAUAUGAUGUACCACAUACAAAGAGCUAGGUAGUGGAGCCAAUGUAUUGACAAUUUUUCAGACGCUGACUUUCUUGAAGAUAAUUCUACCGAUUCAGAUGAUGCCUUAUUGGAGCGAAGUAUGAAACUGAUUGGUGAGAAUAUUGUUGAUAGGUUUUUAUUCCAAAUCUAUUUUACUGUGCUAUUAGCUGCAUACCCACCUGUUCAUGGGACACAUUGUAUAAUAUCUAAUUGUGUGCUUGGACAUAUUAUAUUCAGACGGUUUAGUCAAAAUAAAUUAAUAAAUAAAUAAUUAUAUGUUACAAUCUUAAAAUAUCCGUGACUUGUUUUAAAAAUAAAAUACAAUUAUAAUAAAUACUUGCCCCCAUAAGGUUCUUUAAAAAAUCUUCUUGCCUUUAAAUUUGAUUAUAACAUUAUGUCAUAAUAUCACUCUAAUAUAUUAAGACUAACGGUAUAAAACUGGAUCUACUGUACACACAUUUGCAUGUUGCUCGUUGUGCAAUUAAAGAAGACAUAUUUUUAACAAAGUUUUAAUUUUUAGGUAAUUCAAUUUUGCUGAUCAAGAAUCCAAUUUUAAAAACGCAGAGGGCCUCAACAUAUUUAAAUUGCAAAGAAACACAUAACUAGUUUGGACCAUGGUAUCUUUUCUGAAGGGAAAGUGCAUCUAGUUGGAUGCAUUAAACAGGUCGUCAAGCCCGUUCCCAUUUACAACGAGGAAAGACAAACUUCUUUGAAAAAAGAAUAUGCAAUCACCAAAAAGCUUCGGUGGCUGUUAUUAAAAUUCUUCAACUAUCAACAACGGACAUAACUGAUAAAGACUUUUAAAUUAGAUAUAUUCUGAUAGAUACCUAUUUCAUUUAAUUUGUGAACUUAGUUUUCCUAUGUUUCCCCCCACCACCCAUCAGAAAGUAAUCAGUUACUUUAAUUAAGCAAAAAAUACUAUAUCUAUACACUGUGGAGUUGUGUUUGUGAAUAAAAUUAUUUUGUCAAUGACUAAUUUAAGAAAACUUUCUUUUUAUAAUAAAAAAAAAAUAGUAGGUACCUAUUUAAAUCACACUAUCAUACUUUUAAUAUGUGUCGUAUUCAUAUUAUGUAUUUUAAAAUUUAGAAAUAUAUGACUAAUGCAGUAA
rnacentral:lncRNA from 1 species